UACGUAGGGGGCAAGCGUUGUCCGGAUUUAUUGGGCGUAAAGAGCGUGUAGGCGGCCAGAUAGGUCCGUUGUGAAAACUCGAGGCUCAACCUCGAGACGCCGAUGGAAACCAUUUGGCUAGAGUCCGGAAGAGGAGAGUGGAAUUCCUGGUGUAGCGGUGAAAUGCGCAGAUAUCGGGAGGAACACCUAUGGCGAAGGCAGCUCGCUGGGACGUUACUGACGCUGAGACGCGAAAGCGUGGGGAGCAAACAGG
rnacentral:rRNA from 1 species